CUGCUGGCACAGAGUUAGCCGGUGCUUAUUCUGUCGGUAACGUCAAAAGUGCAGAGUAUUAAUCCACAACCCUUCCUCCCAACUUAAAGUGCUUUACAAUCCGAAGACCUUCUUCACACACGCGGCAUGGCUGGAUCAGGCUUUCGCCCAUUGUCCAAUAUUCCCCACUGCUGCCUCCCGUAGGAGUCUGGACCGUGUCUCAGUUCCAGUGUGACUGAUCAUCCUCUCAGACCAGUUACGGAUCGUCGCCUUGGUGAGCCAUUACCUCACCAACUAGCUAAUCCGACCUAGGCUCAUCUGAUAGCGCAAGGCCCGAAGGUCCCCUGCUUUCUCCCGUAGGACGUAUGCGGUAUUAGCGUCCGUUUCCGAACGUUAUCCCCCACUACCAGGCAGAUUCCU
rnacentral:rRNA from 1 species